UAAAUACUCCUUCCGUUUCAAAAUUCUUGUCUUAGAUUUGUCUAAAUAUAAAUGUAUCUAAUCAUGUUUUAGUAUUUAGGUACAUUCAUUUUUAGACAAACCUAAAACAAGAAUUUUGAAACGAAGGGAGUAUAAG
rnacentral:pre_miRNA from 1 species